UCAAGUGAAGGAGAUAUGUAAGGGUAGAGAAGAUAACAGCAACCAGUGAGUUAGAACUUCUAGUGCACAAAGAAAAAAGCAUAAUGAAAUCUCUGAAUAUGUUCCUUGAAAAUAAAGGAGAAAAUUCCUUGAAGGUCUUAUUGGGAAAUCCUGAUUUCUUAAAAAAUAACAAAAGCCCUAACCUGACCUUGGGUGUUCUUGUUUGUUCUUUAAUAAAAUAUUUCUAAUCUUGAGCUGUUUGCAUAUAAAUAAGGAACUUUUCUAGAAAAGGAUAACUUUGUAGGGAUUUUGCAUUCUUCAGUCUGCUUCUCAGUGGAAGAAGUAUGGAUUUGUAAAUUUGGUGUGAUAAGUCUUCAGCCAAGCAGUUCACCCAAGAAACUCACAGAGCUUUUCUGUGAAAGACUGUAAUUUCACAGGGCAAAAGUCUCAGCCUUACCUUCUCAUCCAAGGCAGUAAGAGCUGUCCCUGUUCUCAGUAGGCACAUGCUUGGCCUACAUGAAAUGUCUUUGCUUAACGUGCUAAGAGCUCAACUCCCCUUUAUUUGGGCAUAAUUCAGAGUCUUGAGUAAUUUCUUUGGUUUCAGUGGAACUCUUCGAAGAGGAAGAAACCACAGCAGGAAUCAAUAUGAACCAGAAUGUGGGGGAAGAAAAAAAAAAAAGAUAAGCAUGAAUUGUAGCUUGUGGCUGGAGGUUAGACAGACCAUGGGAUAGUUAGCCUAUUGCCUUGCCAUUGCUUUGGCAACAGGUGGCAUAAAUUUUGGUGUGUAGCAUUUCAUCUUGUGCACAGGAUGUCCCCUAUCUCAGCAAGAGAUAGAACAAGCAAGUGACAAGCAGCAAUUCUGGUUUCUUCCGAAGAGCACAAGGAAAAGGAAAAAACAGGCUUUCAAAGACCUCACAUGCAUCUUGGUCUCACUGAAACUUUUUUUUUUCAGCUUCUGAACACAACAAACAAGUCAUCUAUCCCUUUGCGGGUAUAGCAGCCCUAAGUGCCUCUGUGUUGACCGCAGCAUCAUUCUUCCUUUGGCUAGCAAGACAUUUAAGAAAAAAAGCAAAGAAAUUCACUCCUUCCAGCAGCUGUCAGAGCCUUACUAUUGAAGGCAGUUUCCAGCAUGCUGGCAAGAUGGUUUAACUUCAGGUGUUUCAGGAAUUGAAGCCAUCUUUACUUAUGUCUCAGGUUUUCAGGAAAUGAAACUGCAUGCAGAUCAGCAGCUGUCCAGAUGUUUUUACCUCUUGCUGACAAGAUGAUUCACCUUGUGUAUUGCUCAGAUUUUGAACUCAAGCUGUCUGGUAUUUUCAUUGAAGACAAACAAGCAGAGGGCAAAAUUCUGGCCUUCUGGCAAAAUACUGUCUGCAUUCAGUCAUGUAGUUAUCAUAACUGGGAGCUUGCCAUCUCUUGUCCAGAUGGUGAGCAAAUAGUAAGCUGCUGCCUAAAGAGGAGGCUGGUUUCUCCUCUGUUCUACUCAAAGGUACCUAGGUGAGGUGAAGACAUGCAUUAUUUCACAUCACUUACUACACUGCUGGAGAUGCCUUCUCUGGAGACAUAUGUGAUAUACUUGCAGAAACAAAAUAAUUGGGAUUAAGAAACAUGAGCUGAAUUGCUUUGAAGCCAUUGAUCUGGUUUAUUGUUGAAAUCAGUUUAUUUUAAGAUGAUGUCCCAGACAUAAAUGGACAGUUACUUGGGUUUCUGCUGCAUGUCCCAGAAAGCUUGUGGACUUUUUUGCUAAUAGCACUAGGAAUGUUGGUGCUUGUAAUACGUACUUCAGUUUCUGAAUGCAGCAAGUGGAUCUGAAAUGAUCUCAUCCCCAUGGGAUUACUGUAAUACAGGUGUGUGUGUAUAUAUAAAUAUUUAAUUUCUUGAGUGAUUUUUACUGUGGGUAUUUCUGUACUGAUAACAGUAAAUGUUUAAAGCACCUGUUCCUGAGUAGGUCUCUGAUCACUGAUCUGGGCACAGGUCAUUUUAAAAUGUCAGAUAUGUUUGUAAGAUUACAUGACUACAUAUAAUUUGCAAAUAAAAUGGAAGUCUCAGAUUUGCAUGUGUGUAUAUAUAUAUUGCAAGUAUGAUUUAUAAAGCUCUUAAAGGACUUUAAAUGAGUCUUAAGUUAUGUUUAAGUUAUAAUCAUAAAUUAAACAUCUGCUUGACUUGGAAUUUGGUAUGUAUUGUUCUAUUUGUAACAUUAUUUA